rnacentral:misc_RNA from 3 species
AACGCACAUUGCGCCCCUUGGUAUUCCGGGGGGCAUGCCUGUUCGAGCGUCAUUACACCCCUCAAGCCUAGCUUGGUGUUGGGCCCCGCUGCUCACGUAGCGGGCCUUAAAAUCAGUGGCGGUGCCGUCGGGCCCUGAGCGCAGUAAAUAUCCUCGCUACAGGGACCCGGUGGACGCUGGCCAUCAACCUCACUUUUCAAGUUUGACCUCGGAUCAGGUAGGGAUACCCGCUGAACUUAA